rnacentral:tRNA from 1 species
GAGUGGUGGCUUAGUGGUUAAAGUGGACAGUUUCAUCAACUGCGUCCCGGGUUCAAGCCCCACUUCA